AGUAUCCAUAGUUUUCUAUAUAUAAUUUUAUAAAUGUAUAUUUAUAAUUUUUUAAAUUUAAAUUUAUAUAUUAGUAUGUGUUACACAUUUAUUGUUUAGAUUAUAUGUUCAAAUUUAAAUGUAUACAUUUAUAAAUACAUAAUUAUUUUAUAUAUAUUUCAUAACAUCAGAAAAGUCUUUCUACUUACUUUGGACGUUUUCCCUUAGCUUCUUACUUUUGAGUAUUUAAUGGAAGCCAAGGAGGGCCUGAGAUGUCGAGUCUGUUUGCAGUCAGUGUUGUUACUUUCCCUUCAGCCCUGUUUAAUUUUGCUAUAAUUCAUACUAGGAGGUGGGUAUUACUGUGCCGAGGUUGGUGACAGGCACCCUUCUCCCUGCUGGUCAGUGGUGUUUCGGAACCAUAGUCGCCUAGGAAACCCCUCCCAGGGCCUGGGCUGGCCAUCGGAAGCUGUCCCAUGCUUGCGGACAUGUACCUUCUCCCUUGACAGUCCUGAAAUUCUCAACUGUUUGUUCCCAUCAGACAGUUCUAGGAACUGUGAUUGUGUCCCUGUAGAAAAACAACGAUGAAAAACUUUCCUUUUUCUGAGAAACCCCCACACCCUGCUUCUUGAUUGUAACCCAAGAUCCUAUAAGAAAAGGCGUGUAGUAUUUUCAUCAUGAGUACUGAGCUAACAUCUAUUUCCUGCAUUACCAAAUGUAGAGAAAACACUCUCAUACUUUUCUGAUAAAAAGGAAAAAAAUCCAUUCGUUUCUGUAAUCAAGAGUAAAAGCUGUCAUCAGCUGUCCAUAUUCUUCAUGAGCCCCACUGUGCCCCUGUUAGCUGAGUGACAUGCUUACCAUGUCGUAAAGCCAUGAGGAGAGACAGAAAGUGAGGCUGGUGACGCCACCUGCUAGGACGUAAGAGGGACUGGACUGAAACUGAACUGGGAGAUGUCAUCCAUUUCUCUCUCUUUUUCUCUUUUUAUUGUGGUAAAAUACCCUUAAAAUGUACCAUAGUAACCAUCUUUAUUUAUUUACAUUUUUAUAUUUUUUGAAACAGGGUCUUGCUCUGUCAGCCAGGCUGGAAUGCAGUGGUGCAAUCAUGGCUCACUGCAGCCUCCAACUCCUGGGCUGAAACAAUCCUGUUGCCUCAGCCUCCUGAGUACCUGGGACUAGAGGUGUGAGCCACUAUGCCUGGCUAAUUUUUAAAUAUUUUUGUACAGACAGGGUCUUGCUAUGUUGCCUAGGCUGGUCUGGAACUCUGAGGCUCAAGUUAUCCUACCUUGGCCUUCCAAAGCAUUGAGAUUAUAGGCAUGAGCCAUUGUACCCAGCCCAUUUGAACCAUCUUAAGUUGCACAAUCUCAUGGCAUUUAUUGCAUUUACCAUGUUGUACAACCAUCACCUCUGUCUAGUUCCAGAACAUUUUCAUGAUCCCAAAAGAGAACUUGUAUCUGUUAAGCAAUUAUUCCCCAUCCUAAGCCAGGAUGAUCUCAUCUUAACUUGAUUGCAGCUACGAAGAUCCUGUUUGCACAUAAGGUCCCACUCACAAAUACUGGGGUUUAGGACUUUGGGGAGUGCACAGUUCAGCCAGUGCAGGUGUGACGGAAGGCAUGGGCAUUAAGAACACAGGAGUCAUUGGAUAUCUAUACUUCAUAGAUAAUCCUAUCCUUAGCUCUGUUUCUCCUUCGUUAACAUGGCCUCCUCCUUCCCCUCCCGCCGGCCAUAGUGAAACUAAGAACAGUGAGAAAACUGAGAACAGCAGGUGUCACCUUCCUUCUACCCAAAAGCCAGGUGAGCAAAAGGAGAUAGGAGCAGGGAAGUGGAUAAUUCACUGCCCCGACCAGUGGUCUCCACAUAGCACUCAGGCUGUCUCAUCUCAUAUUCAUUCACGCAGUCAGCAUCUCUCCAUAGCAGCGCAUGUCUCUCUGUACUUUCAGCUAGGCAUUGGGGCUUUUUGCAGGAAGGAUUGAUUCUAACAGGGCAGGAGUCCUCCUGAGGCAAGUUAGAACCUGGAUACUUAUACAACCUUAGGUGUGUGUCCUUACCCUAACAUGGAGCCAAAAAGAGCCUCAUCUUUUUAAAGGUAAGUGGAAGUUGCAACUAAAUGCCUAUAGGGUGACUUGCGGCCACUUCUACUUUGGGUUCAUAUCAGCUAAGUUCUAUGCUUUUAGCUACUUUCAGGCCAUUUUGGAUGGGCUAGCAAGGUGAAAAUACAAAAUUAGUAGGCCAAUAAGUCAGUCGUCUUGCAGAGUAACAGAAAUGUUAUGCAUUGAAUCAACUAGGGUGUACUUGGAGUUGAUUCCGCUGGGAGGGGCAGGGGAGAGGAUGUUUCUAAAAUAAUGUGCAUUGUACUUUCCUUUUGUAGACUUAAGUCUAAUGAAUGAGAAGCACUUAAUAGGACCACAAGGGGAUCCUUGUUCCAUGCUUAGAUCUAGCAUGCAGAUAAAGUAAGCCCCUUCCCACAUUCCUCCAUGGGAAGGUAACUUAAUUUCUCUCCUUGUCUUGUUUCUUUCUUUCCUGACUUGUAUCUCCCAGAGCCUGCAGUACUUUUUUUCUUUUCCUUUUUUUUCCCUUGAGACAGGGUCUUGCUCUCUUAUCCAGGCUGUAGUGCAGUAGUACUAUCAUGCUCCCUGUAGCCUUGAACUCCUGGGCUCAAGUGAUCCUCCCAUCUCAACUAGCUGACACUACAAACACCUGUUAGCAUGCCUGGCUUUUUUUUUUGAAAUGGCAUUUCGCUCUUGUCACCCAGGCUGGAGUGCAGUGGUGCAAUUUUGGCUCCCUGCAACCCCCACCUCCUGGGUUCAAGUGAUUCUCCUGCCUCACCCUCCCAAGUAGUUGAGAUUACAGGCGCUCACCACCAUGCCUUGCUAAUUUUUGUAUUUUUAGUAGAGACAGCGUUUCACCAUGUUGGCCAGGCUGGUCUCAAACUCCUGACCUCAGGUGAUCUACCUGCCUCUGCCCCCCCAAGUGCUGGGAUGACAGGCAUGACACCGUUCUUGGUCUUUUUUUUGGUAAAGAAGAGGUCUUGCUAUGUUGUCCAAGCUAGUCUGAGGCUCCUAGCCUCAAGCAAUCCUCUUGCCUUAGCCUCCCAAAGUAUUGAGAUUACAGGUGUGAAUCACCAUGCUUGGCCUUGUGGUACUUUUAUUUCAUGGAUGGCCGACAGAAUUUGAAAUUUGGAUGGCAGCCAGUUUGUUGUUAUCCCAAGGGCUUACAGAUUAAUGUGGAAAAGUCUCUUGUCGGAAAAGAGGUGGGUAUGGAGAUGUGGUGGAGAAGCGAAGGAAAGAUAACAGUAACAACAAUUUGGGUGGGUUCCUGCAAGCAGGAAGGUGAGGAGCUGAAGCCAAGAUACGUGCCCACACCACCGCAAACAGGGCAGACUCAGGUAAGAUGUGCUGGGAAUAAAAUAGGCUUUGCAUAUGCUUGAAACAUUGUGCAAAGAACUCGAGAGUGGAUAAACAUGUACAUUACCAGGCUCUAUGGAACUUGCUUUUUGUUCUCUUUACAUUCAAAAAAAUAUGUAAGUAUAUAUUUUUUAAAAUGUAAAAAAAAAAAUUACAUAUGUAUAAAUAUAUUAUAAAAAAGAAGGGCCUUUGCAAAGCAUGUAUAUUUUUUUCCCCUCCAAGGGUGUUGCUUCUUUCUGCCUGUCUACAGACGGGCCCCACACACCAGGCUAGGAAGCAUGUGUCAGGAAGGGUGGAUGUGGCCUGCAGGUGUGCUAUGGGUCUGAAUUGCUGAAAGCCCGAAGCGACAUUCUACCCAGCAGUAGAGUGCCAAUGGAGUAUGGCCUAGACACAGCCCCCUCUUUGAGGUUACUGAUACUCAGCUCCUUUCCAGCCCAUGAGUCUUCCAGCUUCUGCUACAGUCAUUGUUACAUUGCCCUGACUUUGUUUAGCAGUUGCUUCUGUAACCAAAACACAGGUUCAGCCCCUUGCCAUUUGCAGAGUGCAAUUAGCAAGAGCAAGGUCUAGUGUAAAGAAAGUGAGUUUUUAUUCCAGAGCUUUCUUAGGGUAAGAAGUACUGGCUUCCUGCUUGAGGCCACCCCUUUGUUUUCGGAGCACAAAGCAGGCACUUUUAAAAUGGCAUGCAGGGGAGGAAGUGUAUUUCCGUCUUUACACUGGUUUCCGGGGGCAAGAAAUGUUUUUUUUUUUGCAGAGGGUAGAGAGUGAAAGAACACAUACAUAAGCUCUGCUGACCAUCCAGUCUCAAUUACAAGACUUGGACCCUCUGUGGAACACCCGAGUACCUAGCCCCCGAAGUCAUUCAGAGCAAGGGCCACGGAAGGGCCGUGGACUGGUGGGCCCUCGGCAUCCUGAUAUUCGAGAUGCUUUCGGGGUUUCCUCCAUUUUUUGAUGACAACCCGUUUGGCAUUUAUCAGAAAAUUCUUGCAGGCAAACUAUAUUUCCCCAGACAUUUGGAUUUCC
rnacentral:lncRNA from 1 species